CUGAAAUUGCUGAAAAGGAAGUGAUUGGAACCUAAUAGAUUUCAAGAAGUGAAACAUUUUUGUCAAUAAGGUCUCGGAGCUUUUUUGCUUGAAAAAAGAUAAAAUGUUUCUAGGGAUAAAUUACUUAAUGACAGAAUGGCGAAUCUUCUUGAAGAAGUCAGCAUCAGUUACGAGGAAGAGUUUCUUAUGGAGAAGGUAGGUUCUUUUUGAACUGUAUUAUAUCUCCGUUUUGUUACCUUCCAUAUAACUGAGGUGUGUGUUAUUUUUGGGGGGCUUUAUAUUAUCUAUACUCUUUUUGAGUACUGUAUAAUUGGAGCCCUGUGAUUUUGGCUAUAAUGGUUUCAACCGACCCGUCUUGAAACACGGACCAAGGAGUCUAACAUAUGUGCAAGUAUGCGGGUGGCAAACCUGUAUGCAUAAUGAAAGUGAAAGUAGGGAUAAAGGCAAUCAAUUGUAUUAGUCUUUUGCACCUGCGACCGACCACGAUUUCAGAGAGAGGUUUGAGUUGAAGCAUAUCUGUUAGGACCCGAAAGAUGGUGAACUAUGCCUGGGUAGAAUGAAGUCAGGGGAAACCCUGCUGGAGGUUCGUAGCGAUACUGACGUGCAAAUCGUUCGUCAAACUUGGGUAUAGGGGCGAAAGACUAAUCGAACCAUCUAGUAGCUGG
rnacentral:rRNA from 1 species